AGUGAACGCUGGCGGUAGGCCUAACACAUGCCAGUCGAACGGCAGCACAGUAAGAGCUUGCUCUUACGGGUGGCGAGUGGCGGACGGGUGAGGAAUACAUCGGAAUCUACUUUUUCGUGGGGGUUAACGUAGGGAAACUUACGCUCAUACCGCAUACCACCUACGGGUGAAAGCAGGGGAUCUUUGGACCUUGCGCGAUUGAAUGAGCCGAUGUCGGAUUAGCUAGUUGGCGGGGUAAAGGCCCACCAAGGCGACGAUCCGUAGCUGGUCUGAGAGGAUGAUCAGCCACACUGGAACUGAGACACGGUCCAGACUCCUGCGGGAGGCAGCAGUGGGGAAUAUUGGACAAUGGGCGCGAGCCUGAUCCAGCCAUACCGCGUGGGUGAAGAAGGCCUUCGGGUUGUGAAGCCCUUUUGUUGGGAAAGAAAAGCAGCAGGUUAAUACCCCGCUGUUCUGACGGUACCCAAAGAAUAAGCACCGGCUAACUUCGUG
rnacentral:rRNA from 1 species